GUGGAGUUGGCUUUGUUCUUGAAAAUAUUUUCCUCAUAAGGUGGAAAAUGGCGUGGAACACUCUUAGCCAUGAUUCUCCGGUACACAGGUGAUUAUGAGUCAGCCUUGGCACUGCGGAACUCCACUUCAGGAAUGGAACCUGGUUUGAACUUUGGUGCUGGGAAGAGAGGAGAGAAAUUUUCCCUGAAAAUCUGUAUCUCAAAACUGGAUCUCAGUCUGAGGUGGAGGUUAAACCUGGAGCAGUGAGGAGAGGAUGCAAGUGUUUGUUCAGCAGUGCUUUAGCCUCAGUUUCGGCCAUUUCUCACCUGCCACGAGUUAAAGGACAAAAGAAAAAAAAAGAGACUAUGUCAAGUCAGAAGUAUUUUCUCCAUUUGAGAUGGUUAUACAGAAGAUGUUGAGAGGAAGAUAUUGAUUUGAGCUUUGGAAAAUGGAGAAAUUUUAGAAUGGUGAUGUGAGAAAACAUGGUAAGCCUUUUAACAGCUUGUUCCUGUCCCUGAGAUGCAGCCUCAGACAUGGUUGAUUCCAAGGGACACACUUGAGAGCAUUUCUGAGUACUGCAGUGAUAUGAGGAUAUCAUGACUGAAGUGCUUCUCCGCAAACCUGUGGCAAAGUUGAAUGAAAACGACCAGAGAAUCUAAAACCAAAUAGAGAAGGAGCAUUGAAGUCACAGCGAAUUUCAGCUGUGGUAUGCUUUUAAAACAAACAAGCAAAGAACCAAAAAACAAACCCCAAAGGUGUCAAUAUACAAAGCAUGUCACAAACCAAAGGAAACACGUUGUUGGUGGUGUGUUGUUUUUAUGGAAUCUCUACAUUGACGUGAUCUGUAUGGUGUUAAGAUACUCAUUAGUUGAGCACUUAUAUUUUGAGCAUCUUCCAAUUGCUAUUUGCUGUUAUCUGAAAGUUGUUUUCAUGAAACAACAACAACAAAGUGAAACCUCUGCCCCAGGAGAUUUCUACUCUGGUGGGAAGGGAGGCAGGAUACUCAGUAAAGAAAUAAAUGGUGUGUCAUCUUGUGUUGAGCUACUGCAAUGACAAGGCAGCAGUGAAGGAGUUAAACCCAAGAAAUAAGAUUUGUGCCUGUGUGUGUGUGUGUGUGUGAGAGAGAGAGACAGAGAGAGAGAGAGAGAGAGAGAGAGAGAGAGAGACUUGGUAUUGUCACUUUAAUUAGCAUGGUUAGUGGGCAACCAAGAGGAAGCAUCUGCCUCCUGGCUUUGGAUCUGCGCAGUUCCAACCCUAGUGGCCAUUUGGGAAGUGAACCAAUUGAAGGAAGACCUUUCUCUCUGUCUCUGUCUCUCACUGUCUAACUCUGCCUGUCAAAAAAAAUAGCAUGGUUAGGAAACCUUGAUAAAGAAACAUUUGAGUAGAGAACUGAUGAAGAUGAGAAAUAAUUCUGCAAGGAAGACAAAGUUUUUAUCUGUGUGGCAACAAAACUCUGAUCAUUCUUAAACUGCUAAGAAUUCAAUGAAAAUUCAGAUAGUAAAAUCACUACAAUCAUUAAGAUUUUUUCCUGUAGAAUUAUUAUAGCAUUUAUAUUGCUACAUAGUGGGUCAACUCUAAAGGCAAAGCAUUUCAGGAAAUACAUGCUGAAUUGAUUAAAUAUCAAAGUAUACUUAGACAAUGUCAAAGGCUUAUUGCCUAGUGCAUAAAAACAUGUUAAACUCCAUUUUUCCACGCAGAAAGGUACGUGCAGAUGCCUUUGUAGCUCUUUUAUUUCCUGCAUUUUAUUUUCUCAGAGGAUGGGAAGUACAAUAUACUUUUAGUUGUACAGUGCUUGAAUUUCUUGUGUGCAGUAAAUACACGGAAGGACAUUAGCAAACCAAAAAAGAGUACCAGGAUCUUGCUUUUGAGUCCUAGCUUUGUCUUUAAUCAUUUCCAUGGAUAUUGGUUUCACUGACCCUUACAUUAAUCAUUUCUUAGUGAAAAAGAGAUGCGCAAGACUAUUGCCCCUAUUUUGUAAAUAAAAAAAAAGGAUGAUAGGAAGGUUAAAAGAUUUGCCUCAGGCAAUUCUAACUAUAAGGCUCUAGUAAAGCCCUUCAAAGAAGCUAUUUGUCUUAAAUGACAGUUCAGAGUUUUAACCACUCUGCUGCAGAGUAAACUAAGUCUGAAACAGCGUUUGUAAUAGAAAGAGAACAGGACUGGGAAUCAGGAGA